UACGGGGGGGGGCAAGCGUUGUUCGGAAUUACUGGGCGUAAAGGGCUCGUAGGCGCCAACUAAGUCAGACGUGAAAUCCCUCGGCUUAACCGGGGAACUGCGUCUGAUACUGGAUGGCUUGAGUUCGGGAGAGGGAUGUGGAAUUCCAGGUGUAGAGGUGAAAUUCGUAGAUAUUGGGAAGAACACCAGUGGCGAAGGCGGCCACCUGGCUUGGUAUUGACGCUGAGGCGGCGAAAAGCCGUGGGGAGCAAACAGG
rnacentral:rRNA from 1 species